rnacentral:rRNA from 1 species
UACGGAGGGGGCUAGCGUUGUUCGGAAUUACUGGGCGUAAAGCGCACGUAGGCGGAUCAGCCAGUCAGGGGUGAAAUCCCGGGGCUCAACCCCGGAACUGCCCUUGAUACUGCUGGUCUGGAGUUCGAGAGAGGCGAGUGGAAUUCCGAGUGUAGAGGUGAAAUUCGUAGAUAUUCGGAGGAACACCAGUGGCGAAGGCGGCUCGCUGGCUCGACACUGACGCUGAGGUGCGAAAGCGUGGGGAGCAAACAGGAUUAGAUACCCGUGUAGUU